GCCGGCUUCAAGGACCCGUCUGGGCCCUCCUUAGAUGAUAAUGUCAACAGAAACACAAACAGAUGGGGGGUGGGGUGGUCUGGGGGCUCCUCGGAAUGAAGUGCAGACAGGAAUUCGUGCUGGUCGCAGGCAGAGAAACUCCACGUGACCCCUACUCUCUGGACCUGGCCACUGCGGUGAAUGUUCCCAGCUGAGUUUCGGAACCUGCAGAGAGCUGGUCGGAUCCAGCCCAAGAGAACCAGGAGGGGGUGGGCCGUCCUUUAUCCCGUGUUCCCUCAGCCUGGUGGGCGGUAGCUGGGGUGCAACCCCCCACCCCCACCCCGACCCCCAGGGUGGCCGUGGAUUCAGGCAAGGCCCCGCCGCUGUGGCCGCGGCUUCUCUCGCUCCCUCCCCCACCCCAGAUGGUGUGGCUGAUGCUGUCCCUCUGUGUCACGCCGUCAAUGAGGUACUAUCUUCAUGUUCGUGGACGGACGAGGAACCUGAGGCACAGUGCGUCUGAAUAGCCCGCGCGAGGUCUCACCCUGCUGGGAUUAGCUCGUAACUUGGUUUUCGCGCAUCCAGUUGAGAAUGUGUCUGAUGGCACAGAAGGAAGAUCACCAGCACAAAGUCACUGAACACUUCACAAUGAUGACACAAAUGCAUUUUCAAGAAUAAGCCAUCUCAAAUUCUGUGGCGGGGCGCCUGGGGCGUUCGGUGGGUUGAGCGUCAGACUCUUGACUUCGGCUCAGGUCCCGAUCU